GAAAUGCGAUAAGUAAUGUGAAUUGCAGAAUUCAGUGAAUCAUCGAAUCUUUGAACGCACAUUGCGCCCCUUGGUAUUCCGAGGGGCAUGCCUGUUCGAGCGUCAUUACAACCCUCAAGCAUUGCUUGGUAUUGGGCUCCGCUGCUCACCCAGCGGGUCUUAAAAUCAGUGGCGGUGCCGUCGAGGCCCUGAGCGUAGUAAAUAUCCUCGCUAUAGGGACUCGGUGGACGCUGGCCAUCAACCCCCAACUUUCUAAGUUUGACCUCGGAUCAGGUAGGGAUACCCGCUGAACUUAA
rnacentral:misc_RNA from 1 species